rnacentral:misc_RNA from 1 species
UUGAUUUUAUAAAAUUAUAAAACACGUUUGAUAUACGCAUAGUGUGGGAGGGGAGCGCGAUACGCUGCUCGUUCCUCGAUAAUGAUCCUUCCGCAGGUUCACCUACGGAAA